AUUGAACGCUGGCGGCAGGCCUAACACAUGCAAGUCGAGCGGAUGAAGGGAGCUUGCUCCUGGAUUCAGCGGCGGACGGGUGAGUAAUGCCUAGGAAUCUGCCUGGUAGUGGGGGAUAACGUCCGGAAACGGGCGCUAAUACCGCAUACGUCCUGAGGGAGAAAGUGGGGGAUCUUCGGACCUCACGCUAUCAGAUGAGCCUAGGUCGGAUUAGCUAGUUGGUGGGGUAAAGGCCUACCAAGGCGACGAUCCGUAACUGGCCUGAGAGGAUGAUCAGUCACACUGGAACUGAGACACGGUCCAGACUCCUACGGGAGGCAGCAGUGGGGAAUAUUGGACAAUGGGCGAAAGCCUGAUCCAGCCAUGCCGCGUGUGUGAAGAAGGUCUUCGGAUUGUAAAGCACUUUAAGUUGGGAGGAAGGGCAGUAAGUUAAUACCUUGCUGUUUUGACGUUACCAACAGGAUAAGCACCGGCUAACUUCGUG
rnacentral:rRNA from 1 species